CCUACGGGGGGCUGCAGUAAGGAAUAUUGGUCAAUGGACGAAAGUCUGAACCAGCCAUCCCGCGUGCAGGAUGAAAGCCCUAUGGGUUGUAAACUGCUUUUAGCAGAGAAGAAAAGCUUUCAUUAAUGAGAGUCUGACGGUAUCUGCAGAAUAAGCACCGGCUAACUCCGUGCCAGCAGCCGCGGUAAUACGGAGGGUGCGGGCGUGAUCCGGAAUAACUGGGUCGAAAGGGGAGUAAGGAGUCAGAGGUGAAAUCUUGUCGCUUAACGAUAAAAUUGCCAAUGCUACUGGUACUCUUGAAUUGGGUUGAGGUUAGCGGAAUGUGACAUGUAGCGGUGAAAUGCAUAGAUAUGUCAUGGAACACCAAUUGCGAAGGCAGCUAACUGGGCCUUGAUUGACGCUGAGGCACGAAAGCGUGGGGAGCGAACAGGAUUAGAUACCCCAGUAGUC
rnacentral:rRNA from 1 species